rnacentral:rRNA from 1 species
ACGGUACCCAAAGAAUAAGCACCGGCUAACUUCGUGCCAGCAGCCGCGGUAAUACGAAGGGUGCAAGCGUUACUCGGAAUUACUGGGCGUAAAGCGUGCGUAGGCGGUUUGUUAAGUCUGCUGUGAAAGCCCUGGGCUCAACCUGGGAACUGCAGUGGAUACUGGCGAGCUAGAGUGUGUCAGAGGAUGGUGGAAUUCCCGGUGUAGCGGUGAAAUGCGUAGAGAUCGGGAGGAACACCAGUGGCGAAGGCGGCCAUCUGGGACAACACUGACGCUGAGGCACGAAAGCGUGGGGAGCAAACAGGAUUAGAUACCCUGGUAGUCCACGCCCUAAACGAUGCGAACUGGACGUUGGGCACACUUAGGUGCUCAGUGUCGAAGCUAACGCGUUAAGUUCGCCGCCUGGGGAGUACGGUCGCAAGACUGAAACUCAAAGGAAUUGACGGGGGCCCGCACAAGCGGUGGAGUAUGUGGUUUAAUUCGAUGCAACGCGAAGAACCUUACCUGGCCUUGACAUGUCCGGAAUCCUGCAGAGAUGC